rnacentral:lncRNA from 1 species
GAGGCCAUAUCUAGUGUGUUAUUAAUCCUAUAGUAGGGCUUGGCAUCUUACAGUUCAAGAUUAAAUUUCAAAACUUUAACAAUUUAUAUUAGAAAAUUGUUACAUAACUUCUAAGCAUAUAAAAAUUCAUAUACAUACCUAAAUUGGUAUGGUGGUGGGGUUUGUGUGUGUGUUUUCUAGCACUCAAGCUACAGUUUAGACUAUAAUUACAUUGCAAUGAAUUUAGAACCCAUUCUGUACACUUAAACUUUGACUAUGUUGGUUAUGAAAUGUAUAUGUAUAUAUAAAGGAGACCUAUUAAACCCACCCAAAUCACAAAGGAAAAUUAUUUUCCUGUUAGCAUUGCUUAUUAAACAGGCAUUGUUUGUUAUUGUGAUUUAUAUUUUCCAAUAUAAUUUGGGAUUUUGGUCUCAUUCACAGUAGAAUGAAAGAUAUCUGUGAGUUAAAGGACAAAACUAAACAUUGCAAAUCUAAACAUUCAGAAAACAGAGGUGGUAAAUGACCUCUUCUACAUUUUACAAUAUUUUCAGGACAUUUAUGCUUAAUGCUGAGUUCUCAAAUGCAGAAAUACACAUAAAGAAGUGGUUUUAUAAUUCUUGCUAAGGUGAUAUAUUUCAUCUGCUUAAAAUUAUGCUGCUCCCUUAGUGUUAGAGGCCUUAUGUUUGGUAAUUACAAAUGUCUGGGCUAUAUGAGUCUCCUGUAUGUGCGUGUUUUGUUCCAGUUCCUUGAUGCUUGACUCAAAUUCUCUGUGUAUAAUUGUAUCAAAUAUUUAAAAAGUAAAAGGGUCGAAGAAAAUUGUUAAACAUCUGACCAGAAUCCUAUAUACCUUUAUAUAUAUAUUUGAAAAGUAAUAGACUGUGUUGAACAUGACUAUGCUGACCUGUCUGCCUUUUAGCCUGAUUCCUUCACUUUAGUGUUAUGGAAGUCUGUUGGAAACUUUUCCAAUAAGCUAAGUAAUGUUGUACCUUGCAAAAAAGCCUCCACUCUGACAAACAGGGCCUUAUAGAAUAGGAAUGUUUUCAUAUUGGGACUAUGGAGAUUUUACAGAUGUAUACAUCUGUUCCAUUUAAGGUGCCCUUAAAUGUGUUGAAUGUAAUGUGUUAAAUGUCUGUGUGUAAUUGCUAAAAUACAUGUAUGUGCAUAAGAUUGUCACAAGAUGUAUUCUCAGGAAUACUGUUCCCUGGAUUUUGAAGGCUCUUCUGAAAUUAACUUUUGAGAGACCUUGGAAUGAGCAUGUGUCCUCCACAAUAGUGGGUGUAGAUUUACUCAGAUUCAAUUAAAGCAGUUCAAAUUCUGGAUACACCAUUUUAUACAACAAAAUAUUUAACUUCUGUUUUUCAGUAUUUGCUGCUUU